rnacentral:rRNA from 1 species
CCAGGGAGCGACUGAGGAGGACAUUACCUGGCCUUGGGCCACUCCUGCAUGGCGGUCACGCCUUCGGGGGUGCUUAGUCCUUGACUAUCACCUUGACUAUGCGUACCUUUGUUGUUUCCUCGGCAGGUCUCCUGCCAGUGGAACCCUCUACAACCCUUUUGCAACAGCAUUAAACUGAAACAAACCACAAUUAUUUACAACUUUCAACAAUGGAUCUCUUGGUUCUGGCAUCGAUGAAGAACGCAGCGAAAUGCGAUAAGUAGUGUGAAUUGCAGAAUUCAGUGAAUCAUCGAAUCUUUGAACGCACAUUGCGCCCCUCGGUAUUCCGUGGGGCAUGCCUGUUCGAGCGUCAUUUACCCCCUCAAGCUCUGCUUGGUGUUGGGCGCCUGUCCCGCCUCGUGCGCGGACUCGCCUAGAAGACAUUGGCAGCGGUCGUGCCAGCUUCUCGCGCAGCACAUUGCGCUUCUCGAGGCUCCGGCGGACCAGCGUCCAGCAAGUCCACCUCCAGUUUGACCUCGGAUCAGGUAGGGAUACCCGCUGAACUUAAGCAUAUCAAAAGUCCGGGAGGAA